AGUGUCCUCCUUUUAUUGUUUUACAACAUUGACUCAAAGGGGACUUAAUGUGCCACUGACGGACAGAAAAAAGAGCCAAAUAUGUUUGCAUGCUAUUCUCGCUGGGGAGCUACAGAGAACAACCACAGGCUUGUACAGUACUGAGGGUCACUGAGCUGUUCCACGGUGGUAGUUAGAGGAACGCAGCAGACGCACCUUGUCGGGAGGCAAGUUCAAGUUCUGAAACACAUAAGCUUCUUCUGCAUCUGGGGACCCCUCCCGAAGAAGAUGUAGUUGACAAAGGCGUACUCCAGCAGGGCCAGGAAGACCAUGACGAAGCAGCCCAUCAGGCCAUGCCAUUAUCUCCCCUCUGCCCGCUGUGGCAUUGAAAUGAAACCAGCCCGCACCGAGCUGGCACUGGCAAAGGCACACAUGUCCAUUGGUGCUGCAGAUUUCAGGUUUGCACCAAACAGAAAUAAAAAUGAAGAUUAAAACGGCCACUGCAAUGAGCAUGGCUUCCAAAAAAAUGUGUGUUACAUAACUGAAACAGUAAUUUCAACACUGUAUUACCAAAGCUGAGAAAACACUUGAGGAUUUGCAUUUG